UACGGGAGUGGCAAGCGUUAUCCGGAAUUAUUGGGCGUAAAGCGUCCGCAGGCGGUCUUGUAAGUCUGUUGUUAAAGCGUGGAGCUUAACUCCAUUUCAGCAAUGGAAACUGUAAGACUAGAGUGUGGUAGGGGCAGAGGGAAUUCCCGGUGUAGCGGUGAAAUGCGUAGAUAUCGGGAAGAACACCAGUGGCGAAGGCGCUCUGCUGGGCCAUAACUGACGCUCAUGGACGAAAGCCAGGGGAGCGAAAGGGAUUAGAUACCCCUGUAGUCCUGGCCGUAAACGAUGAACACUAGGUGUCGGGGGAAUCGACCCCCUCGGUGUCGUAGCCAACGCGUUAAGUGUUCCGCCUGGGGAGUACGCACGCAAGUGUGAAACUCAAAGGAAUUGACGGGGGCCCGCACAAGCGGUGGAGUAUGUGGUUUAAUUCGAUGCAACGCGAAGAACCUUACCAGGGUUUGACAUCCUGCGAAUCUCUUGGAAACGAGAGAGUGCCUUCGGGAACGCAGUGACAGGUGGUGCAUGGCUGUCGUCAGCUCGUGUCGUGAGAUGUUGGGUUAAGUCCCGCAACGAGCGCAACCCACGUCGUUAGUUGCCAGCAUUUAGUUGGGCACUCUAGCGAGACCGCCGGUGAUAAACCGGAGGAAGGUGUGGAUGACGUCAAGUCAUCAUGCCCCUUACACCCUGGGCUACACACGUACUACAAUGCUACGGACAAAGGGCAGCAAACUCGCGAGAGCUAGCAAAUCCCAUAAACCGUGGCUCAGUUCAGAUCGUAGGCUGCAACUCGCCUACGUGAAGGAGGAAUCGCUAGUAAUCGCAGGUCAGCAUACUGCGGUGAAUACGUUCCCGGGCCU
rnacentral:rRNA from 1 species